UAUGCAGCAAAGGUAAAUGGUUCAGACAUCACACACAACUCAAGCAACCAAUAAAAGAGACAGCAGCUCACAGGAGUAUAACAACUAACUUAAUAUCCAGCAAGUACAACAACAAUUCAGCAAGAACAAACACAUAAGGGAUCUCACACAUACAGUAACAGAAUACGAACUAACACAUGACAAGUACGAACUGAACAUAUUAUCAGUAGCAUAGAGUAGAUGAUGGAACUAUCUCAAAUAUCACAGGCAGCAGAACAAUAUUACAAGUUGAACCACCUAGUUUUCUCAUGGACACAUCAAUAGUUAACUGAGAUUCAGAUUACAAGCUGCAGAAUAUUUAGAGCAAAAAUUCAGAAAACUACAGUAAGAGAAAAGAGAUUCAGAGUUGUCUCCUGGGUUGUAGAUGUUGUGGGUGAAGGAGAGCAGCAGGGACGAAGACGAUCAGCGAAGCCAAGUUGGAGAGGAUCAGCAAGGGGUCGUUGGAGAGGAUCCACAGCUCCGUUUCUUGAGGUUGAAGACGAGGAAGUUCAGCAGGUUGGCGUCAUCGUUGGAGAGAAGUGGUGGAUCGGGCAUCUCCACCAAUCUCCCGGCGACCUCUUCUCCCUUUCUCUCCUUCGAUCUGGUUCUUCUGCUCGUUCCCCUCAAUCCCCUGCUUCGAUCUGGUGGUGGUUGAGUGGUGGAAGGUAGCGAGGAGUUGGAGAGCAGCAGGUCGGCGAUCAGGGGCGGCAGCAAGGUGGAACGGCCUCCGAUCUCCUCUUCUUCUUCCUUCCCUCGACCCCCCUUUUCUUGCCCGAUUCGAUCUGGUGGUAGGUGAGUCGUGGAAGGCAGCGAGGAAUUGGGGAGAAAAAGGCAGUCGGUCUGAUCCUUUUCUUUCCUUCGACGCCCUCAACUCCUCUUCUUUCUUGUGGCCUUGCGCGUGGGAUCAGAUAUGCCUCUCGCUGGUCGCGCCAGACCAGCCCCUUCUCACGCGCCCAAGCAGACAUCUGCUCUUCUUUGUCUGACUAGGUGCAUAGGGUCUUUUCAGCUCGCCCCUUCUAGUUCUAACUUUUCGCACAAGAUGAUCCCCAGCUUGAAGGUUAUAAACACUUUCGAUGAAGUUUAGGUGCCUAAACGCACCAGUCCUGCAAGAUAUGAAUAAGUGUUGUAAAAAUAUCAUAAUAAGAAUAUUUCAAUAAGAAUGAAUACUUUAUAAGUAAAAAUUGUGGUCCAAGGUUUGAUUUGUUAUGCAAAAAGGCUUGAAAUACAAUAUGAAUGAAUGUGCUAUCAAUUUCCCCCACACCCAGAUCUUUGCUUGUCCUCAAGUAAAGAAAAAUGAUGAUGACACUACCCACACUGCCUAGUAAAGAUGCACUUUUGGAUAGAUAGUAAUUCCGACAAUACUAGAACUAGGCAACUGUACUCUACUCAUGCUAAAUUGUGAUAAGCAAUAAUUUAUAACACACUGUAAAUGUUCCAAGUCAAUGACCUUGAGUGAAAGUGAAUCUGAAUAAUCAGGAGUUGGCUGUGUCUUCAGUCCUAAGAUAAGCUGGGACCCCAAAAUCAAUUUAUAAGACAAGUUACUUAUUGAAUUUAAGGCACAAGUGAGAUAUUAUAUCAAUCUCACCAAAGGAACAUACCACCGAUCCCGAGAACAUGGUAUACACCUAGCUCGACCAAUGAUUAGAAUUUUUUUGUUAUUGUCUCCCCAAAGGAACAUACCACCGAUCCAGAGAACAUGGUAUACACCUGGUUCGACAAUUGUAGCAUUUUUUUGUUAUAAAAGUUUUACAGCCCAAUCUACCAGAUUUCACAAGCCACCGAUCCAGGGAACAUGACCUGCUACUGUAGGUUGAUCGGACUUAAAUUAUUACAAAUAUUUUAUUUAUUUAUACUAAAAUUACUUAGCUAAAGUAAAACAGGAGUAAUUGAAAGAGAAAUCCAUAGCUAAUGGCACUGUUUUUCACAGACUACAGAUCCAGAGAUCAUAGUUACUACUUAAGUGCCACCAGCUACUUAGCUUAACUUGGGACAGUUAGACACAUCACAUCAAUUCAUCAAUAAGUUUCACUUAGACUCAAGGCAUUCCCAUUGAACAUUUACACAGAGGUAUAAAGUAUUCAUUAUCACAAUUUACCAUAAGAAGAAUACAUCUGCAUAGUUUUAGUAUUAAGAGAAUCAACAAUCUUCUUGAGGUGAAUCCUACUUUGCAGUGAUGAGCAAUGUGUCACAAUGCAGAAAAAGAAAGAUUUUCAAUGCAAAUAAAUACCAGUCCUCAUACUGAAUUUUCUAAAGGUUGCUUCAAGUGGAACAGAAUCACCUGGUAAAUCUUCUCCCCUAGUUUCUUCUCUCCACUCUUCCCUGUUUGUGUUCCAUGUUUGUGCUCCCCUUGCCUUUAUUCGCUGAAAAAGAAAGAAAUAAACACAUAAAAACUUUUCUAUGAAAACUAAAUAGAAAAAGAACUUAUUAAAGAUUCAGGUUUCCUCCUGAAAAGCGCUUGUUUUAGGUCUUUAGCUCGACCAUGUCUCUUCAGUGGGGGUCAGGGUCCUGCAGGGAUUAACAUCACCCCUUGGCUCCCCUCGCCUUCUUGAAUUUCCUUCUCCAGGUCUUGAUCUUCGCUUGCAUUCUCAUCUUCAGAAAUCAGAGGUGUGUCUCCAGGGAUAUAGGGCUUCAGUCUUUGGCUGUUUACAAGGAAGAGACCUCCAAAAGUACUUUGCACUUGGAUAGCACCACUUUUCAGAAUCUUCUUCACCUUGCAAGGGCCAUACCAUCUUGACUUGAAUUUACUGGGAAAUAAAUGAAACCUCAUAUCAUAGACCAAUACCAACUGUCCAAGAUGAAAUUCUUUCCUCAAUAUAUGCUUAUCAUGCCAGAUCUUGGUCUUUUCUUUGUAAAUUCUUGCACUCUCGUAAGAGUCAGCUCUCAGUUCUUCCAUUUCACAGAGUUGAAGUUUUCUAUGUUUUCCUGUUGUAUCAAGGUCCAUAUUGAGUUUCCUUAUUUCCCAUUGAGUUUUGUGUUCAAGUUCAACGGGUAGAGGACAUGCUUUUCCAUAUAUUAACCUGAAUGGUGACAUUCCAAUUGGUGUUUUAUAAGCUGUCCUAUAUGCCCAAAGUGUGUCUGGUAAUUUCAGUACCCCAUCAGACCUUGACUUUGAUACUACCUUCUCGAGGAUAGCCUUUAUUUCUCUAUUAGAGAGCUCCACCUGUCCAUUUGCUUGUGGGUGAUAUGGAGUUGUAAUUCUGUGAUUGUGAACUCCAUAUUUUGCUAAGAGAGAUUCUAGUUGGGAGUUGUUGAAAUGCAUUCCUCCAUCACUGAUAACAAUCCAUGGCACACCAAAUCUUGGAAAGAUCACUUGCUUAAAUAAAUUGCAAACUGACUUGGAAUCAGCGUUGACGGUUGGUACAGCCUCAACCCAUUUUGACACAUAGUCCACUGCCACCAAUAUGUAUUUGUACCCUUUUGAUGAUGGCAAGGGUCCAACAUAAUCAAUUCCCCAUACAUCAAAGAGCUCUACUUCAAGAAUUCCUUUUUGAGGCAUCUCUUGCCUUUUUGAAAUCUUUCCAGUUCUCUGACAAGGAUCACAAGCUUCAAUAUAGGAAUGUACAUCCUUGAAUAAAGUUGGCCAAUAAAAUCCUGCUUGCAAAAUUUUUGCUUGAGUCUUUUGAGUACUUGCAUGACCUCCAUAAGGGGAUGAAUGACAAUGAUAGAUCACACUUUUAAUUUCACCUUUCGGCAAGCAUCUUCGAACAAUACCAUCAGCACAAUGCUUGAAUAAGUAAGGUUCAUCCCAAAAGAAGUGCUUCAUAUCCGAUAGGAAUUUUUUCUUCUUUUGAUACCCAAAAUCUGUAGGAACUUUGUUACAGACCAGAUAAUUAACUAUAUUUGCGUACCAUGGUGUAUAGUUUUGUAUACUAGUCACUUGCAUAAGAUUGAUCCCUGGUGAAACAUCAUUGAUUGGCAAGGAGUCUAAUGCAUUGUUUUGCAAUCUCGACAAGUGAUCUGCCACAACAUUUUCAGCUCCUUUCUUGUCCUUGAUUUCCAUAUCAAAUUCUUGAAGCAAGAGUAUCCAUCUAAUUAACCUUGGCUUGGCUUCUUUCUUGCUGAGUAGAUAUCUUAUUGCAGCGUGGUCUGUAUAAACUACACAAUGAGAUCCCACAAGAUAUUGCCUGAAUUUGUCGAAAGCAUACACUACUGCCAACAACUCCUUUUCGGUGGUUGUGUAAUUAGCUUGAGCAUCAUCAAGUGUUUUGCUAGCAUAGUAUAUUACAUGCAAAUCUUUUCCUUUUCUUUGUCCAAGUACUGCACCUACAGCAAAGUCACUUGCAUCACACAUUAUCUCAAAUGGUAAUUCCCAGUCAGGGGGUUGCACUACUGAAGCUGUGACCAAUGCUUCUUUGAGCAAGUUGAAGGAUUUUUCACAUUCUGCAUCAAAGUUGAACUUAACAUCAUUGUUUAGGAGAUUAGUGAGGGGUUUGGCUAUCUUGGAGAAAUCCUUUAUGAAUCUUCUAUAGAAUCCAGCAUGUCCCAAAAAGCUCCUCACUCCCUUCACAUUUACAGGUGGUGGGAGUUUUGAUAUUACUUCAACUUUUGCUAGAUCAACCUCAAUUCCUCUUUUAGACACCAAAUGUCCCAAAAUAAUUCCUUCCCUUACAAGAAACUGACACUUCUCCCAGUUUAGGACUAGAUUGUGUUCUGAACACCUUUGAAGAACUGCUGCCAGAUUAUUCAAGCAAUCUUCAUAACUUUCUCCAACGACUGUAAUAUCAUCUAUGAACACCUCCACUUUGAUUCCUAUCAUAUCAGAGAAUAUAGAGAGUACAAAUCUUUGAAAUGUUGGGGGUGCAUUACAAAGUCCAUAAGCUAGUCUUUUGUAAGCAAAUGUUAUGUAUGGGCAAGUGAAAGUUGGUUUAUCUUGAUCAUCCGAGUGAAUUGAGAUUUGCAAGAAUCCUGAAUACCCAUCUAAGCAGCGGAAAUAGUCAUGCCCAACAAGCCUUUCUAGCAUUUGGUCAAUAAAAGGUAAAGGAAAAUGGUCCUUCCUUGUUACUUCAUCUAAUUUUCUGAAAUCAUUGACUAUUCUCCACCCUGUGACAGUCCUACUAGGAAUCGUUUGCCCUUGUUCGUUUUCAAUGACAGUUAUUCCUCCUUUUUUGGGCACCAUAUGAAUGGGGCUCACCCACUCGCUGUCUAAAAUUGGGUAUAUGAUAUCAGCAGAGAGCAAUUUAAGAAUCUCCUUUUUGACAACCUCUUGUAGAUGGGGAUUUAACCUUCUUUGACUUUCUCUAAUUGGCACACUACUUUCUUUCAAGUAAAUCCUGUGAGAGCAGACAGCAGGAUUUAUCCCUUUCAUAUCAUCAAUCGAAUAUCCAAUAACAUCUUUGUACUUUUGCAAAACUGCUUGAAGCCCUUUUAUUUGCAUUUCCGUCAACUCACUGUUUACGAUAAUUGGCCACUAGUUUUCAUUGUCCAAGAAUACACACUUCAAACUUUCUGGAAGUUGUUUCAUUUCUAUUUGCCUUGGUUGCAUCUUCUCUAAUGACCUUGCACUCCUUUCCAACAUGCUCACAGGUUUGAUUUCCUCAUAUCUAAUUUCACUAUUAUCCUCCUCAACUACUUCACCACAAUUUCUUCCAUACCUCUCUUCAUAACCUUCUUCCACACAUUUCUGUAAUGUAUCAAUUCUGUAGCAGUGUUCUUCUCCUUGCGGAACAUGUGUUGCAUGCUUCAUGUCAAACUCCACCUUUUCAUUUCCAAACCUCAAACUCAAUUUAGCUUCUUGGACAUCAAUAAGUGCACCAGCUAUGGCCAAAAAUGGUCUUCCAAGAAUCACAGCCUCACUCUUGUCCUCCAUAUCUAGCACUACAAAGUCAACCGGAUAAGCAAACUUCCCAACUUUGAUUGGAACAUCCUCAAGAAUUCCAACAGGUCUCCUGUAUGUUCUAUCGGCUAACUAAAGAGUUAUGGAUGUUGGAUUUAAUUCUCCCAAGAACAUCCUUUUGCUAACUGAAUGUGGUAACACACUAACACUUGAGCCCAAGUCACAUAGAUCACUGUAAGUUUUGUUUCCAAUCACACAUGGUACACAAAAACUUCCUGGAUCAUCCAAUUUUUCAGGCAUGGAAUUCUGAAUUAUUGCACUGCAUUCCUUUGAUAGAGUUACAACUUCUGGCUUAGACAUGCUUCUUUUCUUUGUUAAUAAUUCCUUGAAAUAUUUGGCAUACAUCGGAACAUGCAAGACAACUUCAAGAAUAGGAAUAGUAAUCUGAACUCCUUUCAUAGAUUCAAAAAAUUUGGCAAAUUGCUUGUCAUCUUUGGGUUUGUUGAACCUCUCAGGAAAGGGAAUGUUGUUGGUUGUUAUUGCUUCCUAUAGCAAAGGCUCAGCUCUUGUUUGAAAACCAGGAAAUUUGACUUCAGUUUCAAUUCGAUUAUCAACUUCUUUCUCCUUUAUUUUCUCUAAUGAUGUUGAAGGUGAAGUUCCGGAUGAACUUGGCCUCAUAGCAGGAGGCACAUAUGUCUUCGGAAUAGGAAGUAAUGGUCCUGUCAUGGCUCCACUCCUUGUAGUCACUGCAUCAACUGAAGAUAUCGCCCCACAGUGAGCUUUCGGGUUUGGAAUUGGUUGAGCAGGCAGCCUUGCUUCAUUUACUAUCCAUUUUGCUCACAAGCAUCUUAACCGAAUCUUUUAAGCCAUUAACUUCAUUUGCCAUCUUGUUCAUUAAUUCCAACUGCAUCUUCAUGAUUUCCUCCAUUCCAUUUGACUGAACAUUUUGUUGUUCAUUCUGCCUCGGCACUUCAAAUUGACUUGGAUGAUUUGGUGGUCGAUUUCCUUGUACUGUCGAUCCACUUGCAUAUGACUGAUUAUUCUUGUACGACAAGUUUGGAUGGUUCCUCCAAGAAGGAUUAUAGCUAUUUGAGAAUGUACCUUGACCUUGAGCAUAACUUACUUCUGAAACCGAUGAUCCAAUUGCUGAAUAGAAGGUACAUUCUGUUCAAGGAUGACCUGCUUGGCCACAUACAUCACACAUUUGAGGCACACUUACUGAAGCUACGGAGGUACCGAUCCAAUUUGACAUGAUAUUAUCCAUCUUCUUGUUCAAGAUGUCAAUCUGAGCCGCCAUGCUAUCAUUUGCAGACACGUUAUACACACCUGGAUGUGGCGGUGCUAUUGCUCUUUCACUUGACCAUUGGAAAUGAUGGGACGCCAUGCUUUCAAUCAAUGCAAAUGCUUCAUCAAGGGUUUUGUUCAUGAUUCCUCCUCCAGCAGCAGAAUCGACAAAAGCUCUGGUUUGAGUGGACAGUCCUUUGUAAAAGGUUUGUAACACCAUCCAUCUUUCUAAACCAUGAUGAGGACACAUUCUGAUUAAAGAGUCGAAUCUUUUCCAUGCGUCAUACAAACUUUCUCCAUCAUAUUGAGUAAACCUUGUUAACUUGUCCCUGUAUUCAGCAGCUUUUGUUGGUGGAAAGUAUCUCUCAAGAAACGUCUGCAGUAAAGUUUCCCAAGUAUCCUUCAGAUCUUCAGGCAAUGAGUGAAGCCAUACUCUUGCUCCAUCUCUUAAGGAAAAUGGGAAUAGUGAUAAUCUGAUAGCACUCGGUGAAACUCCAUUUUGCUUGAGGGUGUUACAAUACUCCAAGAAAGUCCUGAUAUGCUCAUGAGGGUCUUCUAAAGCUGUCCCACCAAAUCUGGACUAUUGUACCAUGUUAAUCAGAGCAGGCUUCAAUUCAAAAUUGUUUGCCUGAAUAAUUGGUUGCACCAUUUCUCCUGGUAUCCCAUGAUCUCUUGGGAUCCACAAGUCCCUAAGCAAAGGUACUGGAUCAGGCAUCUUUUCUUCUUCUCGAUCUUGCAAAGAUUCAGCAACUUCAAACCGUGUUUGAUUCUCUCUUCUUCUUCUCAAUAAAGUCCUUUCAAUUUCUGGAUCAAAUGGCUCUAGUGAAUAUUCAGGAUGAAGCAUAAGACAAUUUCCUGUAAAAGUUCCUGAAAUUGACACAUGCUAGUUUCUCUCAAAACUGCAGCCAAUGUUAGGAAAUUGUUAGUUGCCAACAAUACUACAUAAUCGACCUAAAAUAAAUUCUGAUCUGCUUCUACUAAUGAGCUAAUGAAAUUUAAAUCCCCGGCAACGGCGCCAAACUGAUCGUUUGUAAUAUAGCAGGGUUUUUACGCCCAGACAACGGAUGUCGUGUUCUCCAUAGGGAUCUAGAACUUCGAAGCACACACUUGAAACAUUCAGAACAACCGGACAGAUGAAUCAAACAGUAGUGACAACAAGCAAUUACUAGAGCAAGGUAAAACAAAAAUAAUAUGCAGCAAAGGUAAAUGGUUCAGACAUCACACACAACUCAAGCAACCAAUAAAAGAGACAACAGCUCACAGGAGUAUAACAACUAACUUAAUAUCCAGCAAGUGCAACAACAAUUCAGCAAGAACAUACACAUAAGGGAUCUUACACAUACAGUAACAGAAUACGUACUAACACAUGACAAGUACGAACUGAACAUAUUAUCAGUAGCAUAGAGUAGAUGAUGGAACUAUCUCAAACAUCACAGGCAGCAGAACAAUAUUACAAGUUGAACCACCUAGUUUUCUCAUGGACACAUCAAUAGUUAACUGAGAUUCAGAUUACAAGAUGCAGAAUAUUCAGAGCAAAAAUUCAGAAAACUACAGUAAGAGAAAAGAGAUUCAGAGUUGUCUCCUGGGUUGUAGAUGUUGUGGGCGAAGGAGAGCAGCAGGGACGAAGACGAUCAGCGAAGCCAAGUUGGAGAGGAUCAGCAAGGGGUCGUUGGAGAGGAUACACAGCUCCGUUUCUUGAGGUUGAAGACGAGGAAGUGCAGCAGGUUGGCGUCGUCGUUGGAGAGAAGUGGUGGAUCGGGCGUCUCCACCAAUCUCCCGGCGACCUCUUCUCCCUUUCUCUCCUUCGAUCUGGUUCUUCUGCUCGUUCCCCUCAAUCCCCUGCUUCGAUCUGGUGGUGGUUGAGUGGUGGAAGGUAGCGAGGAGUUGGAGAGCAGCAGGUCGGCGAUUAGGGGCGGCAGCAUGGUGGAACGGCCUCCGAUCUCCUCUUCUUCUUCCUUCCCUCGACCCCCCUUUUCUUGCCCGAUUCGAUCUGGUGGUAGGUGAGUCGUGGAAGGCAGCGAGGAGUUGGGGAGAAAAAGGCAGUCGGUCUGAUCCUUUUCUUUCCUUCGACGCCCUCAACUCCUCUUCUUUCUUGUGGCCUUGCGCGUGGGAUUAGAUAUGCCUCUCGCUGGUCGCGCCAGACCAGCCCCUUCUCACGCGCCCAAGCAGACAUCU
rnacentral:lncRNA from 1 species